UGCAGUGGGAAAAUUGGAAUUGUCUUUGAAGUGACCACGAAUAGUGGUGACUGUCAAUACUGAAUAGCUAUUUUGAAACCUUGGAUUUAGCUCGGUAUGGCAAAGUGAGUGUCAUUAAGUCCCUCACUUCUGGAACAUGAUGGACUUAAGGAUAAGCGCUGAGAACUAGCGGUUCACGGCUCUACUGAGGAAGGAAAUAAACGUCAAGUAGCACUUACCUGUCACACUGGGCAAGAGGGGCCUCUGUCCUGGGCCACACACUUCGGAAGGCCUCAGGUUCAACACACAUGGACUGUAUGUAUUUGGUAAAGAAAACACGGUGCCUCUGUUACUCAGGAUUCAGUCCUCAGCGUCGGCAGGUAAACAUCAACCCUCAUGACUACUAAUACUGUUCAGGCCCCAGGGACAUGCUUUCCCAACAUCUCUUGCCCAAUAUUCUCAAACAAAGGGUGACUGCAUCUGAAUGCCAUGAGCAUUUGUGGGUUGUGCUAUCAGAAACGGGCGCUGCUUUGGAGUGUGGGGAGGAUUUGAGUAGCAAAAGCACUUAGCUAAGACAAAAGACUAAUUAAAUUGUAAAACCUUUCUCUCAGUGUAAGUGCAGUAGUUUAUUACAUUAGCAAGUAUUAUUUUUCAAUAGUACUGAACAUUCAUUUUCUUGCUUCCCUUCAUGGUUCCGGAGGUACUUGUGAAUUAGGGAGCUCUUUGCUCUUUGCAAUAGUUGCACGUGGCGAAUGAAGCACAUUUUGCAUUAUUAACCAACUACUCAUCUCCAAAUCACAGGUCCAUCAGCGGAACACCCAGAUGUGUGCAAUAACAAUUAAAUUCAGUUGUCUCCAAUGUUUUGCUGACUUCUACUUGUAUGAAAACUGUAACUUCACGUGCACUUAAAAUUUUACAGUUAUGAAGUAUUUCUCAAGUAUUUCAGUGACAGGAUCCACUCAGGAGAGUCGGGGCAAGGCUGGCUGAGGUUCUCAAGGAGCUGAGUUUUGAGUUCAGGUGCCUGCGUGGCAGUGGAAUGAUGUUUCCUGACCUCUCAGACCUUUGAGACGUCUGGGUGGUCUUAGACUUCACCUGGAGCCUCCUGUCCGGCAUGCGACCAUCUAGGGGAGUUCCAGGGAAAGGUGGCAGAGAUAUCAUGGACUGAAAGGUGAUGGGUACCCCAAUGAGCUCACUACAAGAUCUCAAAGAUUCCAAGCCACUGGCUGCUCCAAAGCAUAAAGCCACCCUUCUGGAGAGUCG